UACAGAGACUGCGAGCGUUAUUCGGAUUCACUGGGCGUAAAGGGUGCGCAGGCGGCCGUGUGUGUGAGGCGUGAAAGCCCGGGGCUUAACCCCGGAAUUGCACCUCAAACUACACGGCUAGAGCAUUGGAGAGGGUAGCGGAAUUCACGGUGUAGCAGUGAAAUGCGUAGAUAUCGUGAGGAGCACCAGAGGCGAAGGCGGCUACCUGGACAAUUGCUGACGCUCAGGCACGAAAGCGUGGGGAGCAAAAGGG
rnacentral:rRNA from 1 species